UACGUAGGGGGCAAGCGUUGUCCGGAUUUAUUGGGCGUAAAGAGCGUGUAGGCGGUUUGGUAGGUCCGCUGUGAAAACUCGAGGCUCAACCUCGAGACGCCGGUGGAAACCAUCAGGCUAGAGUCCGGAAGAGGAGAGUGGAAUUCCCGGUGUAGCGGUGAAAUGCGCAGAUAUCGGGAGGAACACCUAUUGCGAAGGCAGCUCGCUGGGACGUUACUGACGCUGAGACGCGAAAGCGUGGGGAGCAAACAGG
rnacentral:rRNA from 1 species